GACGAACGCUGGCGGCGUGCUUAACACAUGCAAGUCGAACGGUGAAGGGAUCAGCUUGCUGGUUCUGGCUGAGUGGCGAACGGGUGAGUAACACGUGAGUAACCUGCCCCCUUCUUCUGGAUAACCGCAUGAAAGUGUGGCUAAUACGGGAUAUUCUGGGUCUGUCGCAUGAUGGGUCUGGGAAAGAUCUUGUUUCGGUGGGGGAUGGGCUCGCGGCCUAUCAGCUUGUUGGUGGGGUGAUGGCCUACCAAGGCGGUGACGGGUAGCCGGCCUGAGAGGGUGGACGGUCACACUGGGACUGAGACACGGCCCAGACUCCUACGGGAGGCAGCAGUGGGGAAUAUUGCACAAUGGGCGCAAGCCUGAUGCAGCGAGGCCGCGUGAGGGAUGGAGGCCUUCGGGUUGUAAACCUCUUUCGCCAGUGAAGCAGGCCUGCUCCUUGUGGGUGGGUGGACGGAAGCUGGAUAAGAAGCGCCGGCUAACUACGU
rnacentral:rRNA from 1 species